UUGCUUCUCUCUCCACUUAUCUGCAAAACCCUGCCUUCUUCUAUCUCCACCUUCACUUCCUCUUUCUUUAAUCCUGGAAGAUCAGCCUUGAAAACGUGAGCCUCAGGGGUCUCCUUCCAGUCCAUGCGUGUGUUGGCAAAAGCCGAAGUUUCGCUUGCCAACUCAGAGCGAGGAGCUGAUACAGCUGUGCUUGGGAAUGGGAAGUCGUGGAAAGGAUCCCAGACGUCGAGAGAGAAGGGAUCGAAGAUGUUGGUUCUCCGGCCACCGAAGAAGCUGCUUGGAAUAAGAGACAUUUUUCUUUUCUUGGUUUUGAGAUGUGAAUUGGAAGAAGAACAAGAUUACUCGGUGAAUACUUAUGGUAUUUCUUAGCUUGAAAUGGGUUAGCUCUGCGAUUUGAAUGGAUAAAGGAAGGAGGUAUUUAUAGGGUGGAUUC
rnacentral:misc_RNA from 1 species